rnacentral:tRNA from 1 species
GGUCAGGUGACUGAUUUAGGUGGUAGGCUGUAAACUUAUUUAUGGGAGUCGCUCCCCCUGGUCGG